rnacentral:misc_RNA from 1 species
AAGUCGUAACAAGGUUUCCGUAGGUGAACCUGCGGAAGGAUCAUUGCAAAUCAUGGGCUGGGGGGAGGCGUGGUGGUUCAGCGAGCCACUGCGCACCCUCGGCCGACAUUUGGUCGGGACGCUCGUCCUGGAUCAUAUUCACGCUUGUGCUGUUUGACAGAGUAAAGACGCAGUUAAUGAGACAACUUUUAACAAUGGAUCUCUUGGCUCUUGCCCCGAUGAAGAACGC